rnacentral:rRNA from 1 species
AUUACCGCGGCUGCUGGCACGGAGUUAGCCGGUGCUUCUUCUGCGGGUAACGUCAAUCGACAAGGUUAUUAACCUUAUCGCCUUCCUCCCCGCUGAAAGUACUUUACAACCCGAAGGCCUUCUUCAUACACGCGGCAUGGCUGCAUCAGGCUUGCGCCCAUUGUGCAAUAUUCCCCACUGCUGCCUCCCGUAGGAGUCUGGACCGUGUCUCAGUUCCAGUGUGGCUGGUCAUCCUCUCAGACCAGCUAGGGAUCGUCGCCUAGGUGAGCCAUUACCCCACCUACUAGCUAAUCCCAUCUGGGCACAUCCGACAGCGUGAGGCCCGAAGGUCCCCCACUUUGCUCUUUCGAGGUUAUGCGGUAUUAGCUACCGUUUCCAGUAGUUAUCCCCCUCCAUCAGGCAGUUUCCCAGACAUUACUCACCCGUCCGCCACUCGUCACCCGAGAGCAAGCUCUCUGUGCUACCGUUCGACUUGCAUGUGUUAGGCCUGCCGCCAGCGUUCAAUCUGAGCCAGGAUCAAACUC